rnacentral:rRNA from 1 species
AGCGAACGCUGGCGGCAGGCCUAACACAUGCAAGUCGAACGAACUCUUCGGAGUUAGUGGCGGACGGGUGAGUAACACGUGGGAACGUGCCUUUUGGUUCGGAAUAACUCAGGGAAACUUGUGCUAAUACCGAAUGUGCCCUUCGGGGGAAAGAUUUAUCGCCAUUAGAGCGGCCCGCGUCUGAUUAGCUAGUUGGUGAGGUAACGGCUCACCAAGGCGACGAUCAGUAGCUGGUCUGAGAGGGUGACCAGCCACACUGGGACUGAGACACGGCCCAGACUCCUACGGGAGGCAGCAGUGGGGAAUCCUGCGCAAUGGGCGAAAGCAUGACGCAGCCAUGCCGCGUGAAUGAUGAAGGUCUUAGGAUUGUAAAAUUCUCUCACCGGGGACGAUAAUGACGGUACCCGGAGAAGAAGCCCCGGCUAACUUCGUG